rnacentral:rRNA from 1 species
GACGAACCGUGCAAACGUUGUUCGGAAUCACUGGGCUUAAAGGGCGCGUAGGCGGCUUCGCAAGUCCGGGGUGAAAGCCCCCAGCUCAACUGGGGAAGUGCCUUGGAUACUGCGGGGCUCGAGCGAGGCAGGGGUCGUGGGAACUUCCGGUGGAGCGGUGAAAUGCGUUGAUAUCGGAAGGAACGCCGGUGGCGAAAGCGCACGACUGGUCCUCUUCUGACGCUGAGGCGCGAAAGCCAGGGGAGCAAACGGG